AGUCGAGCGGUAGCACAGAGAGCUUGCUCUCGGGUGACGAGCGGCGGACGGGUGAGUAAUGUCUGGGAAACUGCCUGAUGGAGGGGGAUAACUACUGGAAACGGUAGCUAAUACCGCAUAACGUCGCAAGACCAAAGUGGGGGACCUUCGGGCCUCAUGCCAUCAGAUGUGCCCAGAUGGGAUUAGCUAGUAGGUGGGGUAACGGCUCACCUAGGCGACGAUCCCUAGCUGGUCUGAGAGGAUGACCAGCCACACUGGAACUGAGACACGGUCCAGACUCCUACGGGAGGCAGCAGUGGGGAAUAUUGCACAAUGGGCGCAAGCCUGAUGCAGCCAUGCCGCGUGUGUGAAGAAGGCCUUCGGGUUGUAAAGCACUUUCAGCGGGGAGGAAGGCGUUAAGGUUAAUAACCUUGGCGAUUGACGUUACCCGCAGAAGAAGCACCGGCUAACUCCGUGCCAGCAGCCGCGGUAAUACGGAGGGUGCAAGCGUUAAUCGGAAUUACUGGGCGUAAAGCGCACGCAGGCGGUCUGUCAAGUCGGAUGUGAAAUCCCCGGGCUCAACCUGGGAACUGCAUUCGAAACUGGCAGGCUAGAGUCUUGUAGAGGGGGGUAGAAUUCCAGGUGUAGCGGUGAAAUGCGUAGAGAUCUGGAGGAAUACCGGUGGCGAAGGCGGCCCCCUGGACAAACACUGACGCUCAGGUGCGAAAGCGUGGGGAGCAAACAGGAUUAGAUACCCUGGUAGUCCACGCCGUAAACGAUGUCCAUUUGGAGGUUGUGCCCUUGAGGCGUGGCUUCCGGAGCUAACGCGUUAAAUCGACCGCCUGGGGAGUACGGCCGCAAGGUUAAAACUCAAAUGAAUUGACGGGGGCCCGCACAAGCGGUGGAGCAUGUGGUUUAAUUCGAUGCAACGCGAAGAACCUUACCUGGUCUUGACAUCCACAGAACUUUCCAGAGAUGGAUUGGUGCCUUCGGGAACUGUGAGACAGGUGCUGCAUGGCUGUCGUCAGCUCGUGUUGUGAAAUGUUGGGUUAAGUCCCGCAACGAGCGCAACCCUUAUCCUUUGUUGCCAGCGGUUCGGCCGGGAACUCAAAGGAGACUGCCAGUGAUAAACUGGAGGAAGGUGGGGAUGACGUCAAGUCAUCAUGGCCCUUACGACCAGGGCUACACACGUGCUACAAUGGCAUAUACAAAGAGAAGCGACCUCGCGAGAGCAAGCGGACCUCAUAAAGUAUGUCGUAGUCCGGAUUGGAGUCUGCAACUCGACUCCAUGAAGUCGGAAUCGCUAGUAAUCGUAGAUCAGAAUGCUACGGUGAAUACGUUCCCGGGCCUUGUACACACCGCCCGUCACACCAUGGGAGUGGGUUGCAAAAGAAGUAGGUAGCUUAACCUUCGGGAGGGCGCU
rnacentral:rRNA from 1 species